UCCUUCCAAUAAUCAAACUUUUAUAUAUAUAUAUAUAAAGAUGUUUGGACUUUUAUUGAGAAAAGUAGUAUUAGUAUAAUAUUGCUUUCUUCAAAACUAAAAAUAUGUUGUAUUGGUUUUUGUUUACCAAACUCAUUUUGUAUCUAAUAUAACAAAUGAGUGUAAAUUUUAACAUACAAUAAAACAAUACCUUGU
rnacentral:misc_RNA from 1 species